rnacentral:tRNA from 1 species
AGAAACUUAAGUUAUAUUAAACUAGAAGCCUUCAAAGCUACCAAAAAAGACCACUUAAUAGUUUCUG